AUACGUAGGGGGCGAGCGUUGUCCGGAAUGAUUGGGCGUAAAGGGCGCGUAGGCGGCGCGGUAAGUCUGGAGUGAAAGUCCUGCUUUCAAGGUGGGAAUUGCUUUGGAUACUGCCGCGCUUGAGUGCAGGAGAGGUUAUCGGAAUUACCGGUGUAGCGGUGCAAUGCGUAGAGAUCGGGAGGAACACCAGUGGGGAAGGCGAGUAACUAGGCUGCAACUGACGCUGAGGCGCGAAAGUGUGGGUCACAAACAGGAGUAGAUACCCGUUUAGUCCACACGGUAAACGAGGAAGGCUAGAUGUAAGAGGUAUCGACCCCUUUUGUGCCGGAGUCAACACAAUAAGCAGUCCGCCUGGGGAGUACGGCCGCAAGGUUGAAACUCAAAUGAAUUGACGGGG
rnacentral:rRNA from 1 species